UUUCAUCUUCCGUCUGUAUUAACAGAAAUAAAAAUAGUAUCAUUUAGUAUGGUUUGGACUUACAGCAAUUAGUUGUAAAUGAAGAUGUACCAUUUGUAACUUUGUGUAACGGAUAUCUUUUUUAUUCACAGGAAUAUUAACAGGUUACAGCAAAGAUUUCAGACUGAGAUGGCAUUGUCGCAGCAACUCCGUUUGACAUAAUGGCUUCAAAUCUAGAAACAGACAUCGAAAUGCAGAGUUUGAUAAGCAAUAAUGAUGACUCUCUGCACAAGUUUUAUGAAGAGAAAUGUCUAUUUUCUAUUCCAAAAGACGAGGUUACACUUAUCCAGCAUGCAGUAGAGUUUAUGGUUAGAUUUCUGCUGUUGACAAUAUACGAGAACACUUCUUUCAGCGAAUUAAUUGUUUCUGGUAAAUCAAUCAUGCGCACACUUGAAUCGUUCAAAACUCCACCCAAUAUUCCCUAUGCGUUCGAUGACAACAAUUUGCUGAAAGUUGGAAGUUUUUAUGAAAAUACCAAGAAUUGUUAUCCUGAUGAGUUCGAUUUUAUAUAUGUAUUUGCUGAAUGCAGAGAAAAUGAAUUUGUUAUCAUGAAAGAGUUACUGUCAACCAUGGCGGACAUUUUCCACGAUUGUUUGAAAAAGGCCGUUGUCAAACCGUUCCUUGCCGAGACAUGCAUAGAAUUUGUAGGAUAUGUACGCAAACAUGGCCCAGCGGCAAAACUUGAAUUUCGUUAUGAAAGUGUAAAUGCUAGAGGUAACAAAAAAAGCAUUUUCGUUGAUAUUUCCCCUGCCUUAAAAGUGUUUACACAGAACAAUUUUUCAAGUAAAAUGUUUGACAUUGAUCUACACCCCGAUUGGAAGAAACGUGUUCAAGCAACAGGCAGUUUUCUGCUUCUAAAGUUCUUUAGUGCAGGGCAUCCAAAACGUAAAACCAAUAUAAAAAUAUCUAUUGCAGAAUCGGAGCAUCAGUAUAUAUCGGAGGAAAUGUCCGAGAAACAUAAACAGGUGUAUAGACUUUUAAAAUAUCUUCUAAGCAACGGUGCGGAAGAAGAGAAAUUACGAAAACUUAUAAGGGGCAGACACAACUUACGGGUUAUAAAAUUUAUGCUUUUACGUUCAGAAGUUGUGUAUGAUUUUUCGUCUUAUGUGAUUAAGACUUCGAUGUUUCAUCACUGUCUUUGUUGUAACAACAGUUCGGAAACGAUAUCAGAUUGUGUUUUGAGUGUAGUCAAUUUCAUUUUGAACCUAUUCAAAUCGGAGCAAAGCAAAAGAGUAAAAUCACAAAGCUUUCGUCAAGGAAUUACGUUUUUUCCCGUUUCGGUGAAGACCAUGACAGGAGAAAUGAUUGAGAUAGCUGAUGAUUACAAUUCAUCUCUGACAAUUAUGGAAUAUCUAAAGGAGAUUCGAGAUGACAUUUCGAAAAUUCAAUUGACUGAGCAAAUAACGUUGGCAGAAAAGAUGGUACCUGUUGUACAAAAACAUAUGAUGAAAAAAAAAAUAAAUUGUCGUAACUUAAGUUUAUUUCAUGUCAUUAUAUACGCUAUCCUAGUUAUUGGUUGUGUUUCUUCAGUGAUAUAUACAGUGUUAAACACUGACUCUAAGGUAGCAGAACAUGGUGUUCAGAUGCAUCUGUGUUGGAAUGGAACCGAUUAUAUGAAUUAUACAUCUAGUGUUUUUUCUAACACUUCUAAUUUGAAUAUGUUUGACAUGUCCACUGUUGAUCAGGGCAAGACUCCGUCAGUCAUCAGUACUGGAAAUAUGCACUGCAUAGAAUACAAUAAUAUCUUGUCACAGGAAAAUCAAGCUAACAUGACAAUGGCAAAUGUUAGCAGAAUCUACUACUGUGGAGAUACAAGGUCUUGCAAUACUGAAGACAACAAUACUGAAGACAACAUAUACCAAUUAAAGGUCUUCAGUAGAGGGAUUGAACAACAACUCGUUUGUAGCGCCCUUGAUAUUGAAAGCAUGAUGGAAAACGAUUACCUCUUGUCAGAUAUUAUUAAUAAUGAAAAUGGUAUGGAGAACACUGGACGACACUUAGCCUGUCUGCAGACGGAUUCAGCGUGCCUGAAUAUACAGAAGAGACGUUUUGGUGUUGGACUUUUUGUGAAUGAAAAGGCAGUUGGCUGUAAUAAACACCAACCCUGUAUGCCGACACUCUCGAAAGAAAUAAUGCAUUUGUGUUGCUACAUGUCUCAGCAUGUCAAUGAGAGUAACAAAGCAACGGAGACUGAAAUAUGCUGUUGUGACACACAUGCUUGCACAGACCCAGAAAAAGGCAAUAGGGAAAAUUCAAAUAACAUAAUCGCGGGUAUUGUAGGCUGCUCUCUAAUUUGUAUUGCCAUGACGUCUUACUACACAAUGAUUUUUGGAGUGCUGUUCGUCUAUAUAACAACAGUAAAUGGGUAUCACCGAUGCCAUUAAUGGAGCACAUCUUAAAAGACUCGAAUGUAUUAGAACAUACUUCAUGUGUUGCUUCCCACACAAUGAUAUACUAGCAAUGCUAUACGUUUUAAAUGGUAUUAAAUUGCGUCAGCUAAAGCGUAUUUUAAAAGCUAAUAAUCUAUCUAGACGUAAAAAUCGUACACCAGAAGAUAUUGUGAGGUAUCAUAUUCAUGCAACAAUCCAGCGAAGUGGUCAAUAUAUGAGCUAUCGAUCUUUGUGGCAAAAGUUAGUGAAAGAUUAUCGCCUAAUGGUAUCGUGAGAUCAAGUCUUAAGGCUUUUGAGAGACAAAGAUCCAUACGAAAAGCACACCGGCUGAAAAGGCGAAAACUUCGUAUGGCAUGUAGAUGGUUAUGAUAAACUUAAGCCAUAUGGGUUUAGUAUACAUUGGGCAAUCAAUGGUUACAGCCGACGAAUGUUAUGGCUUGAGAAACAGUAAAGGAAUUAGGUAUUGUGCCAAGGCUACUUCGUUGUGACAGAGGAACUGAAAAUGCAAAAAAGGCAUUGCUGCAGCCAUUUUUUUUCAGAUACGAAGGUACAGACAGUGUUUCUGGUUUGAAAAGCUUUAUGUAUGGGAAGAGUGUAUCUAACCAGCGAAUAGAAUCUUGGUGGGAAAUAUUGCGUAGACAAGGAGUUCACUAGUGGAUUUCGUAUUUUAAUGGCAUGGUGGAUGCGAAUGUUAUUGAUAUAACAAAGAGGGUGCACAUGAAUGUUUGAAAUACUGCUUCAUGGAUUUAAUCCAAGCAGUACUCGAUAUGAUUAGACAACAAUAGAAUGUCCCGGAAUGAUAAUCCGUGUGGAAUGCCAAAUGUUAUGAUUUUUGUACUUGAAAUAUAUGGCGGACACGACUUUGGUCAUAACGUUGACCAGGAAGAUAUCGAGAUAUGCAUGGAGUUGUAUGGAGAACAAAAGCAGCUAUAUUCAGACGAAACAAAAGAACUGUUUCAGCUGUUGUUUUGGAUCAUGUAAGACCUACGGUUGCAGAAGAAGCUUCAGUUUUGUACACACAAGCUCUAUUCUGAAACUGUUAAGUGUUUUAAGCGUUACGUAUAAGGCGAAAAUAAGCAGUGUUCUUAAAACAGGAGACAAAUAAGACAAAUUAAACUAUACUUUUCUUAUGUCUUGAGUAAUUUAUUCGCAUCUGGAGUAUUAUUUUGGUUCAUAUUAUCAUAUUAUUUACCCUCGAUCAAUUUGCUCAUGUAGCGCUGAAAUAAUUAUGUACAUGUAUUUGUUUCCUGACAUUUAAUGAAUUGUUUGCAUACUGGUACUUACAUAUGUUAAUAGAUGAUACAAUUGUUUUUAAGAUCAGUAUUAAAACAAGAGCCAUGUUAGACAUGGCCAAUCCCCCGUCAGGAAACGUGAAUUUAAGGUUAAACUUGCUCCUAAUUUACUCAGUGUAUGAAGUUUGAAGGAAAUCCGUUUAGUUCUUUUGGAGUUAUGCUCCGGACAAAAUGUUAAAGUAAAUAUAAUAAAGGGGAAUAAUUUAAAAAAAUCGAUAAUGUAGAGUUAUUGAUCUGGCAAACUUCACUUCCCCCAAUGUACUCUGUCAGUGUAUACAAUUUGAGGGAAAUCCGUCAAGCACUUUUGGAGUUAUGCUCCGGACAAAAGCGUCUCUGACGCACAGACUGGGACAAUUUCUAAUAUCACUCCUCGCAUUUGCGGGGGAUAAAUAAACUUUUAGUUUUGUCCUGUUCAUAAUCUAGAGUAUCUUUGCAAGUAGUCCCAGAGCUCAGACUGAUAUAAUUGCACUUUUGAGCACGAGAAAUAUGUUCAUAUAUUUUGAGAAACCACUUAAAUCUUAAAUCUUAGAACUUACAACUUAGAACUUACAGGUUAGAACUUACAACUUAAAAGUUAGAACUUACAACUUGGAACUUAGACGUUACAACUUAGAACAUUAUUUUAGAGCUUAGAAAUUUUAUAAAGAUGUACAAUUUGUAACACAAACAUAAAUCUUAUUAAUUCUUACGUCUCCCAUCCUCUUUCCACUAAUAAUACCAUUACUUAAGUAUCACAAAUAAUAAUCCAUAAAAUAUAUGAAAUUGCAAGAUUUGAUAUUUUAAAUUUUAGUGUUAACAAGUUCUCAAACUGCUCUGUAACUAUAAAUGCGGAAGAAGCUCUUCCAACUCGUUUACAACUAUGUUAAAACUUAUAAACGAAAUGGACAACAAUGAAAAUUGUCUACAAUACAUUACCUUGGAAUAUCUGGAAAACUGUUCUGCAGGAAACAGUCAAUGCCCUAAGCUUAGUUUUCCUAUCUCGUUGAGUCUUAAAAUAAUGUAUCAGUCAGUAGCCAUAAUCCAUUGUGCAAGCGCAUGUUUACUUCUGAACAUAAUGGUUUGUGUUGGUCUAACAUGCUGCUUUGAUUUCCAUUAAAGAUAUGCCAAAAUUAUCAAACUUGGACAUGCAGUAUAAUUCUAUUACUACCUGAUAGCAUGUAUGUUUGGUUGACAGUUUUCCGUUGCUGUGCACUUCAAUGUGUUAAGUGAAGAUAAUGCCGUAUGAAUAUUUGAGGCUGGUGCUUCGGAAAUAAAGAAAUCGGACUAUUAAAGUAAUAUUUCCUUUCUUGAUAGUAAUCACCCUUAUAUUGUUAUUGUUGUUGAUGUUGGUAGAGAUUUUGGCAGUGAAAGGGAAAUAACUUUUGCAUGCAAUUUGUUUUACUUAAAAAGUCUGCCUCAGUCAUCAUUAACCUAGAUUAUAAGUAACAAAAAAUCCAGUGGAGAUAUUACAACAAAGUAAUCAAUAUAUAUCAAUAACAAUUUUUAACUUUAUUAAACACAGAAAUCGAAUCAUUUCUAAACAAAUUUGAAAGUCAAAAAUUAAGUUAUCAGAAAUGCGGCCAAUUAUUUUUGUACACAUUUUGUACGAGACAAACUUUAGAACUAUUCAAAUGACUGUGAAAGUGUACACACGUAUGUGUAUACUUUCGCUUGCCAGAGAAAACCUCAUUAAAUCUAACAAAAACUGAGCUCAGGUGAGCUUAAACAACCACAUAGACACAUUUUACAGCUUGAGAAAUUGCGAACAGUGCUAACAAUUCUGGACAACAAAGAAGCAAAUGUUAAUGUAGCUGAAAUGAGCAAAUAAAACCAGAUAAACUUAUAAAACUUCAGUAAGACUCUAUAAACUUUAAAAAGUAAGAAAGAAUAAUGCUUACAAUAUUUAAACCACAAAGGAAUAUUAUCAAAAUUGCACUGAGAAAUUAAGACAAGAUGGCGAAAUGGUCCCAGGCCGCUCACCUAAGAACGCCUGGAAUAAUCUUGCUUAAAUGUGACUGAAGAAUUUGUGCGAAGAACAGCCUGGAGAGGACUAAUUCCAUACAGAAUGUUUUUCUUUUAUUUGACUGGAUGACCUAGUAUGUGACUCAUACUCGAUCUUGACCUAGAUUUCAUCAAGACAAACAUUCUGACAAAAUUUCAUGAAGAUCUAGCGUAAAAUGCAAUCAUAUUGCAUACACACGGUUUUACCCAGGUGACCUACUUUUUGACCCGUGCUGACUCGUAUUCAAACUUGACAUAGAUUUCACCAAGCCAAACAUUCUGAUUAAAUUUCAUGAAGAUCCAGUGUAAAAUGCAGCCCCUAUUGCAUACACAAGUUUUUUUUUAUUUCACCGACUGUCCUUGUUUCUGACCCCAGAUGACCCAUAUUUCAACUUGACCUAGACUUCAUCAAGACAAACAUUCUGACCACAUUUCAUGAAGAUCCAGAGAAAAUUGCAGGGCAACCUAAGGAACAAAUUUUUGUGAAGUUUGGUGUAAAUAUGCCAAGUGGUUUUGAAGAAGAUUUUUGAAGUUUACUAUAGAGACAUAUAGGGAAAAUAAGUUCAGCCAU